NNNNNNNGCAGAGGGUCCUGAGGGGAAACGUGAGGGGGGAAUUCAAGAGGGUUCUGAGGGGAAAUGUGAGGGGAAAUGUGAUGGGAAACGUCAAGAGGGUCCUGAGGGGAAACGUGAGGGGGGAAUUCAACAGGGUCCUGAGGGGAAACGUGAGGGGGGAAUUCAAGAGGGUCCUGAGGGGAAACGUGAGGGGAAAUGUGAGAGGAGUCCUGAGGGGAGAUGUGAGGGGGGAAUUCAAGAGGGUUCUGAGGGGAAAUGUGAUGGGAAAUGUGAUGGGAAACGUCAAGAGGGUCCUGAGGGGAAACGUGAGGGGAAAGAUGAGUGGAGUCCUGAGGGGAAACGUGAGGGGAGUCCCCAGGGGGGAAUUGGAGAGGGUCCUGAGGGGAAACGUGAGGGGAAUGGUGGCUGGAAAUGUGAGGGGAAUGGUGGCUGGAAAUGUGAGGGGAAUGGUGGCUGGAAAUGUGAGGGGAAUGGUGGCUGGAAACGUGAGGGGAAUGGUGGCUGGAAAUGUGAGGGGAAUGGUGGCUGGAAAUGUGAGGGGAAAUGUGAGGAGGGUCCUGAGGGGAAACAUGACAGGAGUCCUGAGGGGAAAGGUGAGGGGGGUCCCCAGGGGGGAAUUGGAGAGGGUCCUGAGGGGAAACGUGAGGGGAAAUGUGAGGGGAAAUGUGAGGGGAAUGGUGAGGAGGGUCCUGAGGGGAAAACUGAGGGGAAAUGUGGCUGGAAAUGUGAGGGGAAACCUGAGGGGAAAGGUGAGGGGAAACGUGAGGGGGGUCCUGAAUGUGAGGGGAAACCUGAGGGGAAAUGUGGGGGGAAAUGUGGCUGGAAAUGUGAGGGGAAUGGUGAGGGGGGUCCUGAAUGUGAGGGGAAACGUGAGGGGAGUCCUGAGGGGAAAUGUAAAAGGGAUCCUGAGGGGAAACACGAGGGGAAACACGAGUGGAAACAUGAGGGGAAACCUGAGUGGAAACCUGAGGGGAAACACGAGUGGAAACCUGAGGGGAAACAUGAGGGGAAACCUGAGUGGAAACCUGAGUGGAAACACGAGUGGAAACAUGAGGGGAAACACGAGUGGAAACACAAGGGGAAACAUGAGGGGAAACACGAGUGGAAACACAAGGGGAAACAUGAGGGGAAACCUGAGGGGAAUUGUAAAAGGGAUCCUGAGGGGAAACACGAGUGGAACCUUGAGGGGAAACACGAGUGGAACCUUGAGGAGGGUCCUGAACGUGAGGGGGAAGCUGAGAGGGGUCCUGAGGGGAAAUGUGGGAAGAAAACUGAAGGGAAAAGUCGGGGGGACCCCGAGGGGAGAGAGAAGAGGGGUCANAGCGCCAGCGCCUCCGACUCGCCCGCGGGGGGGGGGGGGCGGGGGGGGGCGGCAGGGGGGAACUGCAGAGGGUCGUGAGGGGAAACGUGAGGGGGGAAUUCAAGAGGGUCCUGAGGGGAAACGUGAGGGGAAAGAUGAGUGGAGUCCUGAGGGGAAAUGUGAGGGGAGAAUUCAACAGGGUCCUGAGGGGAAAUGUGAGGGGAAAUGUGUGGGGAAAUGUGAGAGGAGUCCUGAGGGGAAAUGUGAGGGGAAAUGUGAGAGGAGUCCUGAGGGGAAACGUCAACAGGGUCCUGAGGGGAAAUGUGAGGGGAAACGUGAGGGGAGUCCCCAGGGGGGAAUUGGAGAGGGUCCUGAGGGGAAACCUGAGGGGAAAUGUGGCUGGAAACGUGAGGGGGGUCCUGAAUGUGAGGGGAAACCUGAGGGGAAAUGUGGGGGGAAAGGUGAGGAGGGUCCUGAGGGGAAACCUGAGGGGAAAUGUGGCUGGAAACGUGAGGGGAAUGGUGGCUGGAAAUGUGAGGGGAAUGGUGAGGGGGGUCCUGAGGGGAAACGUGAGGGGGAACGUCAGUGGAAAUAUAAAGAGGGUCCUGAACGUGAGGGGAAACGUGAGGGGAGUCCUGAGGGGAAAUGUAAAAGGGAUCCUGAGAGGAAACACGAGUGGAAACACGAGUGGAAACAUGAGGGGAAACAUGAGGGGAAACCUGAGGGGAAACCUGAGGGGAAACCUGAGGGGAAACACGAGUGGAAACAUGAGUGGAAACACGAGUGGAAACAUGAGGGGAAACCUGAGGGGAAAUGUAAAAGGGAUCCUGAGGAGAAACAUGAGUGGAACCUUGAGGGGAAACACGAGUGGAACCUUGAGGAGGGUCCUGAACGCGAGGGGGAAGCUGAGAGGGGUCCUGAGGGGAAAUGUGGGAAGAAAACUGAAGGGAAAAGUCGGGGGGACCCCGAGGGGAGAGAGAAGA
ensembl:lncRNA